rnacentral:lncRNA from 1 species
GCCCUAGGCAUUCUUCGAGUCAUCCCUGUCCUCGCCCUUCUGCAUCCAUCGGAGCGAUCUAGGAUAGUCCCGAAACCUUCACUUCUAUUCUCGCCAUCUAGGUGCCCUUUCUCCUCCAUUUUUUCUCUACCACAUCCCUCUGGCUUGGUCCCCUGCAAACUUUCUGCCUCUUGCCCCGCUUGAUUUCUCUAGGAUCUUUAGGGUUUUUGUUCGAGAUGUCCUCCAGCAUCUCUGCCUCCAGGAGUUCGUCCUCCUCAGCCCCCCAGAAUCCCCACACUGUAGAUGCACCCAUGUCUAGGGCUGGGCCUCUCUCGAUUUUUGCACCGAGGGCUAUCCCCUAUUCCCUGACUUCGGAUGAACUUCUACUGAUAAGGGUUCAGUAUGGAGUUCCUCUGGAGUACGAUUUGGAGCUUCCUGGUCCCAUCGAUCGGGCUAGCACUCCCCCACCUGGCCAUUUUUGCCUG